rnacentral:piRNA from 1 species
AAGGACGAGAUGAAUAAACGCAG